CGGGAUGUAGCGCAGGGGUAGCGCAUCAGUUUUGGGUACUGAGGGUCGCUGGUUCAAAUCCAGUCAUCCCGA
rnacentral:tRNA from 1 species